rnacentral:rRNA from 1 species
UACGUAGGGUGCAAGCGUUGUCCGGAAUUAUUGGGCGUAAAGAGCUUGUAGGCGGUUUGUCGCGUCUGCUGUGAAAUUUCGGGGCUCAACCCCGAACUUGCAGUGGGUACGGGCAGACUAGAGUGUGGUAGGGGAGACUGGAAUUCCUGGUGUAGCGGUGAAAUGCGCAGAUAUCAGGAGGAACACCGAUGGCGAAGGCAGGUCUCUGGGCCACGACUGACGCUGAGAAGCGAAAGCAUGGGGAGCGAACAGG